rnacentral:lncRNA from 1 species
AACUGCAAGGGUUGUCCCGGGACAGUGCCGGUACGAACCUCACCCCGCCGCCACCCCCGGGCCAGCUGCUGCAGUCAAUAAGGCGAGGGCCUAGCAGGCGCUCGUCGCCCUCCUGGUGGGGUUCGCUCGGGUGUUCCUACCAGGGUUGAAGAGGGCUAGGGAGCUGAGCUCCGGAAGGGCGGACUAGAGGCCCCAGCGGCCACUCCUAGAGAGGCGGGCAGCUCGGGAGGUCUGAGCGCAGAGGGCGGGCGGAGCCGCACGUUGCGUGGAAUCCCCUAGUUCAUUCCCGGGAGAGCCCCGGGCGCAGGACAGAGCGGUGGAGGGGCGCCUGGGAGCUCUGGGGGACACCAAGAGAAGAGAGGUUAGGGCCAGUGCGCAGCAAACGGGGAGGAACUACGACGCGCUGGGUAGAAAGAGUAAGAGAGGCGCACCCACUUUGCUGGUGAGGGGGGCACACGGGGAGCCUAAGAAAGGCCUAAAGAGGUAGUGGGUGUGAGCCAGCCUCGGGCGCGUUAAAAAGGGGGCGCCGGAGGGAGGCAAGGAGAGGAAGUUGGGUGUAGGAAGAAGCGAGAGGAAACUGUUGCCUGGACAGAGCGUGCCGUGCCAAAGCGCGGAAACGGGAUCAAGGAGGGGGCAUCAGGAAUCGCCUGGGGACCCCCCGGAGAGUGGCGGAAGCGGUGCCCUUGGGCGCAGCAAAGAGAGAAGGGAGCACAGGCUGAGAUAGAGACAGUCCUGGGCGCUGGAGAGCAGGAGCCCCCGGAGCGGCAGGGAAAGGAACGUAGAGCCUGCAUGCUCGGGGUAUGAGCUUACUGCGCUCGCUAGGGUGGCGCGCACUGGGGCUCUAGAAAAGAGGGUUGAGAAGCCCCGGGCAAGUGCCUAGGAAGGUCAGAGGAGUCAGCAAAGUCCACGGAAGAACUUCCCCGGGUUGGAGAGGAAACGCACCCUGGGAGCUGGAAAGAAGAGGAAAGCUAGCCUGGGGGAAGCUUGAUCAGGGCUCUGAGUACCACGAGGAGUGCAGAGGAGGUGCUGAUGAUUGCGGGGAGAGCUCUGAGAGCCCGAGAAAGGAACAUUCUGAUACAGGCUAGUUCAUCAGAACCAGAAGUGAAGUCCCCUGUUUAUGACGUUAUGGGGAAACUGAAGCCCUAGAGGAAAAGAAGACUAAAUGUAUUACCAUCUGACCCACUUCCUGGCCAGCCUGUUCACCUGUCUGCUGUUCUUCAUUGAUGUGCAAUCUAAGACUCAGAGAAGCUGGAGAAUUUUCCUAACGUCACACAGCAAAGGAAUGGAAGACUCAGGACAAGAAUACACGAUCCUCUCCUUCCAACAUGUCACCCAGCAGAACAAGAGAAGGAAUCACAAUUGGUCCAUGACAGUCACGGUCAUCUCAUUCCUCUUGCCAGUGGCAGGUGUAUGUGUGAGUUUGCAGCUCAAUCCUGGCCAAGGGGAUCCAAGGACUGCUGAAGAGGCAUGUCUGCACAUGUCACCUAGAACAUCUCCAGCCAUCAUGUGAUCUCUGGGGGAGGCAUUCCCAACUCUCUGAGAGAAGCAGACCAGAAAGAUGGAAAGAAAGCACCUGGCUCCAGGAUGAUGACAUUGAGCCGAUGAAUUAACCACCUUUGUGCUGCUCUAACCUUCAGAGUUCACCUUAACAUGAGAAAAUAAAACCCUUAUUGCUUA